UAAAAGCUUUCAGUACUUGAAUUUUUUGUGUGUGUGAAUUUAAUAUGUUUUUGACCUCAGAAAACUGCACUGGAGUCCUGUGUAAAAGGUUGGGGUAUGAGUAUUUUGGUUGGCUAUACUGAUGUAGACUUUUCAGCACGACAAAUUCAACUCAUAUCUGGGAAAACCUGGAAGGGAACCCUAUUAGGAGUGACUACAUGACUGGCAAAAUAAAGCUCGACUACUUUAUAACCCACAAAAUGGACCUGGAGCAGACCAAUGAUGCUAUCAACCUCAUGAAGACUGGACAAUGCAUUCGAUGCAUACUGAAUAUAUCCAAUCAUUUAAUCUCCACUCAACUUCUACGCCACAGUUUGAGACAAUCGGAUGGGAACAGAUUGCUCAGACUUACCGCAGACACACUCAAAACUACUUUAAAGCACUGUAACUAUUUCUGAAAGGUGUAGAAAGAACUGAAGUGAUGGAACGAAUCUUAUGCCUGGCUAAAAAGUGAAUUAUGUUUCAUCAAAAACAAACAAGAAUUCAAUACAGAUGAAUCUCUUGGAUGAUCUUUUC